AUUUAAUUAAUUUGAAUCAGUUGAUUGAUUUACUGGGUUGUAUUUCCCAGGGGUUACUGUUAUGUGAAUUCAGUGGAAUUGUGUGUUCCCAUAAAUCCACAUGAUGUCAUUGUCAGUCUUGCUUUAUUACUCUGUCUCUUACUCAAAGUCACUUAGCCAACUUUCUAAAGACUUUGAUGAUAGAAGAAAAGAUGAAUCAUGGUUAUCAUCGAGAUAGGUUAACCUAAUUGCUUUUGGGACUUCAAGCCAUUUUCCAUUAGUAGCUUCUCUGGGCAUUUACUAAGACAAUGAGAACAGUAAAUUAUAAAAUAAUCACAAUGCACUGAGGAUAAAAUUAAAAAUAGAUUUUACAUAGAUAUUUGAGAUAUGAACUUAGAUGAAACAUCAAGAUUGUGAGUUUAAAGACCUAGAAGAGUUCACACUAAAAAUUUUGAAGUAUUCUGAUGAGAAAGCUAAGAUGAUAAGUUAUAUUCUAAUAAUCUUCAACCAUCUUGGCAGAAGAAUUUUAGAAAUGAGAGGGAAGAUAAUAGAUAAUAUUUAAACCCAAUUGCAGCAUUUCUCUUUUUUUUUUUUUGUGGAUGGAAAGACUGACCCAAGAGAGGUAAGUGAUCUAUCCAAAGUUUAACAGCAGAAAGUAAAUAAAUGAAGAACAUGGUGGGGCUCUGCUCCCUAUUCCCAAAGAACUUUCUCCCUGUCUCAUUUGUCUGCUGUGGAUCUGGAGGGAGGAGUCCUCAUCUUCCUCCAUUGUUCCUAGCAGAAGCUAUUUAAGACUGAACUUUCUUUUCUACCUUUUACUUCUUUAGCAAACUCUUUAAAUUCUGUAAGGGGUUUAAGACUUUUUGCUUUUCUCCCCUGAAGCAAUGAAUAUGCGCACCUGAGGACCCAUUUAGAGGAUGAAUGGUGGGAAAACAAUGGGAGUUAGAGAAGAAUCUGGGGAAGCCUCUAAAUGUUCCCAGUCUUGCUCUGGCAGCUGUUGGAGGCAGAUCACUUCCUUGUAUCGUGUUUAUGUGCAUAUCAAUGAAACGCUACAACUUUCCUAUUCUAAUCAACACUUGGCUGCUACUUCAGCUGAUUAUGGCCCUGGAUAAUUGCCACAGUGAAUCCCGUAUUUAGUGGAAACAAAAUAUAUUGAUGACAAACAUGUUUCUUAUCAAAAGUCAAAAAGAUGGAUCCGAAUUCAGAUCGUGCAGGAAAAACAAGUAUGUAAAUCAUUAUACAGACAAGAUGCAAAUUUACCGAGCCUGGGAAAAAUGAUGAGGACAGCUUCAAAUCUCAAGGAAGAGGUGGCGUCAGGCCUCAUUAUUAUAAAAGCUUGGCUAGUAAAUAGAUUUUUCAGGACAUGCUUGUGUGGAGGUGAAUAUUAAAUCACGAGCCCCCGGGAGGUGGCAGAGCGUGUGAGCGCCCGAUGAAUGUGGAGGAGCAGCUAAUGGGCUGGAAUCACUGAGGUCAUGAUUGUCAUUCCUCAUUGUGCUUCCAUGCCAGUUAUGCCUAAUCAGAUGAUUAAGCCGGUAAUUUAAGGCCAUAGGUUUUCUCUUUAUCUAGUCUAUGUGGCUUUACAGUUUAAAAAAAUGAUUUUGUUUUGACAUUAUGCACCUGAUCUAUUGUGUGUUCUAUGCAUAUGGAUAUCUUAGCCCAAAACAGUUCUCCAGGACUACACUCAGACAGAAAGACAGCACAUAGACGAACUCCUAACUUUCUUGGAAAUCCUACUUGAAAAGUGACUUCUGUGAUAGGUUAAAUUGUCUCUCUGCAAAGUAUCCAUGUCUCAACUCUUAAAACCCACGGAUGUUAAUUUGCAGAUUCGAUAAAGUUAAAUGUGUUGAGAUGAGAAGAUUGUCCUCCAUUACCUGGGUGGGCCCAAAAUUCCAUCACAUAUAUUCCCUUGUAAAAGGGAGAUGAGGGAGAUGUGACCACAGAAGAGAAUGAAGGGAUGUGGCCACAAGCCAAGGAUUGCAGCAGCUAUCAGAAGCUGGAAGAGACGAGAAACGGAUUCUACCCAGGGGGCUCCAGAGCAGGGGUCCCCAACCCCAGGGCCGCACAGCAGGAGGUGAGCAGCUGGCCAGGGAGCAAAGCUUCACCUGUAUUGACAGCUGCUCCCCGUUGCUCACAUUAA
rnacentral:lncRNA from 13 species